rnacentral:rRNA from 1 species
GAUGAACGCUGGCGGCGUGCCUAAUACAUGCAAGUCGAGCGAACAGACGAGGAGCUUGCUCCUCUGACGUUAGCGGCGGACGGGUGAGUAACAUGUGGAUAACCUACCUAUAAGACUGGGAUAACUUCGGGAAACCGGAGCUAAUACCGGAUAAUAUAUUGAACCGCAUGGUUCAAUAGUGAAAGACGGUUUUGCUGUCACUUAUAGAUGGAUCCGCGCCGCAUUAGCUAGUUGGUAAGGUAACGGCUUACCAAGGCAACGAUGCGUAGCCGACCUGAGAGGGUGAUCGGCCACACUGGAACUGAGACACGGUCCAGACUCCUACGGGAGGCAGCAGUAGGGAAUCUUCCGCAAUGGGCGAAAGCCUGACGGAGCAACGCCGCGUGAGUGAUGAAGGUCUUCGGAUCGUAAAACUCUGUUAUUAGGGAAGAACAAAUGUGUAAGUAACUAUGCACGUCUUGACGGUACCUAAUCAGAAAGCCACAGCUAACUACGU